AUGGCGGCGGCGGAACUCACGCUGGCCGAGCUGCAAAAGCUUGUGCAGGCGACGAUCGAGCAGAGCAAGGCGGUUUCAGAUGCGGGAGCUCACAACGCGAAGGGGCUCGAAGAACUACGCACGGUGGUGGACACGUAUGCGUCGUCCUCGGCCAAGGCCUUCGAUGCGCUCACGCAGUCCACCACUGCGUCCCUCAACCGCACGGAAUCUACGCUGGGACGACUACUGAUCUCCAACAACGGCCUCGACGCAGCAGUUCAAGAGAUGCAGCAAUCUCUCACUGGCGUGCUGAAGCGUGUCGCCGUCCUGGAGUAG
rnacentral:rRNA from 1 species